rnacentral:ribozyme from 14 species
AAAAGAAAAGAAAAGAAAAGAAAAACAUUUCUGUUCUCUCAUCACGGUGUUCUCAUAAAUUCACAAACCAGCUGAACAAAGCAAAGGAAUCAAGAACAAA